GUGGGGAAUAUUCCGCAAUGGACGAAAGUCUGACGGAGCAACGCCGCGUGAGUGAUGAAGGUUUUCGGACUGUAAAGCUCUGUUGUUUGGGACGAAAGUGCCUGUUGCGAACAGUUACGGGUAUUGACGGUACUAAACGAGGAAGCCACGGCUAACUACGUGCCAGCAGCCGCGGUAAUACGUAGGUGGCAAGCGUUGUCCGGAAUUAUUGGGCGUAAAGAGCAUGUAGGCGGGAAUCUAAGUCUGUUGUUAAAAUGCGGGGCUCAACCCCGUAUUUCGAUUGAAACUGGGUUUCUUGAGUGCAGGAGAGGAAAGGGGAAUUCCCAGUGUAGCGGUGAAAUGCGUAGAUAUUGGGAGGAACACCAGUGGCGAAGGCGCCUUUCUGGACUGUGUCUGACGCUGAGAUGCGAAAGCCAGGGUAGCGAACGGGAUUAGAAACCCCAGUAGUCC
rnacentral:rRNA from 1 species